GUGGAUUAGAUACCCUGGUAGUCCACGCCGUAAACGAUGGAUACUAGCUGUUCGGCGCAAGUUGAGUGGCUAAGCGAAAGUGAUAAGUAUCCCACCUGGGGAGUACGCACGCAAGUGUGAAACUCAAAGGAAUUGACGGGGGCCCGCACAAGCGGUGGAGCAUGUGGUUUAAUUCGAUGAUACGCGAGGAACCUUACCAGGGCUUAAAUGUAGAUUGACAGGUCUGGAAACAGACUUUUCUUCGGACAAUUUACAAGGUGCUGCACGGUCGUCGCCAACU
rnacentral:rRNA from 1 species